UACGUAGGGUGCAAGCGUUGUCCGGAAUUAUUGGGCGUAAAGAGCUCGUAGGCGGUUUGUCGCGUCUGCUGUGAAAACUCGGGGCUUAACUCCGGGCCUGCAGUGGGUACGGGGAGACUAGAGUGCGGUAGGGGAGACUGGAAUUCUCGGUGUAGCGGUGAAAUGCGUAGAUAUCGGGAGGAACACCUGCGGCGAAGGCGGGUUGCUGGGCCGACACUGACGCUGAUGCGCGAAAGCCAGGGGAGCGAACGGG
rnacentral:rRNA from 1 species